AGCUUGGUGCAGUGGCAGUAUCUAUCGUAGCCAAUGAGGUUUAUCCGAGGUGCAAUUAUUGCUAAUUAAAUAAUAGUGAAGAGUAAUGUAUUAUAUUACUGUUGCUGCUGUAACAAAUUGCCACAAACUUUAAAACAACAAAAAUUUAU
rnacentral:snRNA from 1 species